rnacentral:rRNA from 1 species
GACGAACGCUGGCGGCGUGCCUAACACAUGCAAGUCGAGCGGGAACCUCGGGAGGGGUAACCCUUCUGAGGGGAGAGCGGCGAACGGGUGAGUAACACGUGGGCAACCUGCCCCGGACACCGGGAUAACCCAGGGAAACCUGAGCUAAUACCGGAUACUCCGGCGCGAUCGCAUGGUCGUGCCGGGAAAGCUCCGACGGUCCGGGAUGGGCCCGCGGCCUAUCAGCUUGUUGGUGGGGUAACGGCCCACCAAGGCGACGACGGGUAGCUGGUCUGAGAGGACGGCCAGCCACACUGGGACUGAGACACGGCCCAGACUCCUACGGGAGGCAGCAGUGGGGGAUCUUGCGCUAAUGCGCGAAAGCGUGACGCAGCGACGCCGCGUGGGGAUGAAGGCC